GAUGAACGCUAGCGGGAGGCUUAACACAUGCAAGUCGAGUGGCAUCACGGGGUAGCAAUACUCUGGUGGCGACCGGCGCACGGGUGAGUAACACGUAUGCAACCUGCCUCGUACAGGGGGAUAACGCGGAGAAAUUCGGACUAAUAUCCCAUAAUGAUAUUGAAAGGCAUAUUUUGAUAUUUAAAGCUCAGGCGGUACGGGAUGGGCAUGCGGAACAUGAGCUAGUUGGCAGGGUAACAGCCUACCAAGGCUGCGAUGUUUAGGGGACCUGAGAGGGUUAUCCCCCACACUGGUACUGAGACACGGACCAGACUCCUCCGGGAGGCAGCAGUGAGGAAUAUGGUCAAUGGGCGCAAGCCUGAACCAGCCAUCCCGCGUGAAGGAAGAAGGCGCUAUGCGUUGUAAACUUCUUUUCCAGGGGGAGAAUUUUUCCGUCGUGACGGGAAUUGACGGUACUCUGGGAAUAAGCAUCGGCUAACUCCUUGCCAGCCGCCGCUGUAA
rnacentral:rRNA from 1 species